rnacentral:rRNA from 1 species
GACGAACGCUGGCGGCGUGCUUAACACAUGCAAGUCGAACGACGUGGCGAACGGGUGAGUAACGCGUAAUCAACCUGCCCCUCAGAGGGGGACAACAGUUGGAAACGACUGCUAAUACCGCAUACUGAAGGUGGGGAUUGCGUCUGAUUAGCUAGUUGGAGGGGUAACGGCCCACCAAGGUGAUGAUCAGUAGCCUGGCUUAGGGGAUUAACGGCCACAAUGGGACUGAGACACGGCCCAGACUCCUACGGGAGGCAGCAGUGGGGAAUCUUCCGAAAUGGACGAAAGUCUGACGGAGCAACGCCGCGUGAGUGAUGACGGCCUUCGGGUUGUAAAGCUCUGUUAAUCGGGACGCGGUACCGGAAGAGAAAGCCACGGCUAACUACGUGCCAGCAGCCGCGGUAAUUC